GUGCUGAACCUGAGAGCAGCCCCAGUACACUCCCUGCAUGGGAAUCUCCAUCUCAAAGUCAGCCUCCAGGGAGCCCGCCCUGAAACAGAUUCUGUCAUGGAACUCAACAGAGUAUCCUGGUGCGGAUAACCAGUGUUGGGAGUUAGAGCACGGACUCUCUCCACCUGCACGGUGCUGGAGCUCUGCACACCCCCUCUGCAGCCAUCCCUCGCCGCUGUCCCUUAGCUGACGCCCUUGCCCUCUGUGUGUCCUUCCUCAUGGCCUGCAGGUUUCAGAUCCCAAGCUACAGAUCAUGUCUUCUAGUCUGGGCUCUGGCAGAGAGUUCGGAAGCACUCUUAUUAUCUUAGCAGCAGCAUGUGUGGAAAUCAUUUCUCAUUACAGCGGAGGGCAGGCAUUGUGCAGAGGGUUAAGUGGGCCUGCUUGAAGUUGGUUGUUGUUAGCUCUCAUGUCUAUGCCUUGGUCCCUUUCCCCUCAGGACUUGGAGAGCAAGCUGUUUGAGUCUGAUGCAACCCCUGGGCUUUGACUAUCAUGCCAAAAGGCAGCAAAUAAGUGCCUUUUCUUCCCUUCAGAAUACAUGGACAAUCCAAAGCUCUAUUAGUCUAUUAUUCAGAAUGAAAAGUGUUUACAAUAUUCGUCCUCUUACUCCUCAGUAUGUGAGACUGUUCCUCGUAGCAGGUAAUUUCUUCCGAAUUCAAAAACUCCUCAUGGAAGCAUCUGUUUUUGUCAUCAAGGAGGGGGCUGUAUGUGGAAUUGCAAGGCCAAAGACAUCUCGGGUCAACUCUUCUCAGGACCAGAUCCAAGUCGCCAGUGAGAACACACAUUCAGGCAGCCUCCACCAGCGCCCUGCCUCAGGAGCGAGGCUCCCUGCUUCAUGUGGGCAAGAGCUGCCCUUGUUUUCCCAGCGGGCAGUUGGGGGUCUGGAGCCUAGGAAGCAAAGUGAAGCACACACUCCUGCUUCCUUCCUUCCCUGCAGUUGAGACGGGAGUCUUACUUUGUUGCCCAGGCUGGUCUCAAACUCCUGGCUUCAAGCAAUCCUUCCACUUUGGCCUUCCAAAGUGCUGGGAUUACAGGCAUGAGCCACCAUGCCCAGCCUCCUUCUCUUACUAGCUGAGAACUAAGAGAAGACACUCUGGAGACAGAGGAGGAAACAGUGACGAUGCCACAUGAUGAAUACAUAAUGGAGGGUGAAGACAAGGCUCCGUCAGGGGCACCAAGGAGGGAAACCCAGUUCUGUGGGGAAGGUAUGGGGCAGCUUCACAAGCCCAGUGUCUGCUCCCUUUGUGGGAGACGUGUUGUUUCAGCAUCCAUUCCCCCUUCUUUUAGGAAAAGUGCUUGAAUUUCCUUUUCAUGGAACCACCCACCUCCCUCUCAUCCAUGCAUUCUAUUCCCAGUAUCAGGGGUAGACAAGUGACUUCAGGCUUGGCCAAUUAGGGUUCUGACUCUUGGUCAAAUCAGAGUGAAUCCUGAGUCAUUUGUAAACUCCAAGGAAAGGGCUUGCUUUGUUUUCUGUUGAAUGCAGUGCUCUGAGAUAGCCGGAAAUGAAACUGCUCUCUUGCCACACUGAAGGCUAGAGAAGGGCCUGGCCAGGAAAUGAUGCCAGUGAUCAGGGGUGGAGCUGGAAGAGGGGGAGUGAGGAGGCCCAGACAUCUUGGGAGCCCCAAAUUCACCUCAGGAUUUAACUUCUCCGCUGCUCAGCCAAUAAAUUCCUUUCUUCCAUGACU
rnacentral:lncRNA from 1 species